rnacentral:rRNA from 1 species
UCCCUUAUCCUUCGGGAAGCCACCAUAGGGAAAUUUGCCAAAGGGGGGAAAGCUUGACGAGCACGCCGCGUGAGUGAAGAAGGUCUUCGGAUCGUAAAGCUCUGUUGUCAGAGAGAACAGGGAUGAGAGUAUACCUUUCAUCCUUGGCCGGUCCCUAACAAGAAAGCCCCGCUUACUUCCUGGCCGCCGCCCCGGGAAUU